GACAGAGGGUGCAAACGUUGUUCGGAAUUACUGGCGUAAAGCGAGUGUAGGCGGUCCGAUAAGUCGGGUGUGAAAGCCCUGGGCUCAACCCAGGAAGUGCACUCGAAACUGCCGGGCUAGAGUAUCGGAGAGGUUGGUGGAAUUCUCGGUGUAGAGGUGAAAUUCGUAGAUAUCGAGAGGAACACCGGUGGCGAAGGCGGCCAACUGGACGAAUACUGACGCUGAGACUCGAAAGCGUGGGGAGCAAACAGG
rnacentral:rRNA from 1 species